GACGAACGCUGGCGGCGUGCUUAACACAUGCAAGUCGAGCGGAAAGGCCCUUCGGGGUACUCGAGCGGCGAACGGGUGAGUAACACGUGAGUAAUCUGCCCCUCACUCAGGGAUAACCGCGGGAAGCUGCGGCUAAUACUUGAUAUGACCACGUCUCGCAUGGGGUGCGGUGGGAAGCGUUUAGUGGUGGGGGAUGUGCUUGCUGCCUAUAGGCUUGUUGGUGAGGUGGUGGCUCACCAAGGCUUCGACGGGUAGCCGGCCUGAGAGGGUGACCGGCCACACUGGGACUGAGACACGGCCCAGACUCCUACGGGAGGCAGCAGUGGGGAAUAUUGGACAAUGGGCGAAAGCCUGAUCCAGCAACGCCGCGUGAGGGAUGACGGCCUUCGGGUUGUAAACCUCUUUCACCUCUGACGAAGCGCAAGUGACGGUAAGGGGAGAAGAAGGACCGGCCAACUACGUGCCAGCAGCCGCGGUAAGAC
rnacentral:rRNA from 1 species